rnacentral:rRNA from 1 species
UACGUAGGGUGCGAGCGUUGUCCGGAAUUACUGGGCGUAAAGAGCUCGUAGGUGGUUUGUCGCGUUGUUCGUGAAAUCUCACGGCUUAACUGUGAGCGUGCGGGCGAUACGGGCAGACUGGAGUACUGCAGGGGAGACUGGAAUUCCUGGUGUAGCGGUGGAAUGCGCAGAUAUCAGGAGGAACACCGGUGGCGAAGGCGGGUCUCUGGGCCUUACCUGACGCUGAGGAGCGAAAGCGUGGGGGAGCGAACAGG